UAUUUGGUGUUGUGGGGAAUCAGGACUGUUACUUUGAAAAAAUUAGAGCGUUUAAAGCAGGCUCACGCUUGAAUACAUUAGCAUGGAAUAAUGAAAUAGGACGUUUGAUUCUAUUUUGUUGGUUUCUAGGAUCGACGUAAUGAUUAAUAGGGAUAGUUGGGGGCAUUAGUAUUCAAUUGUCAGAGGUGAAAUUCUUGGAUUUAUUGAAGACUAACUACUGCGAAAGCAUUUGCCAAGGAUGUUUUCAUUAAUCAAGAACGAAAGUUAGGGGAUCGAAGACGAUCAGAUACCGUCGUAGUCUUAACCAUAAACUAUGCCGACUAGGGAUCGGAUGAUGUUAAUUUUUUAAUGACUCAUUCGGCGCCUUACG
rnacentral:rRNA from 1 species